rnacentral:rRNA from 1 species
UACGGAGGGUGCAAGCGUUAAUCGGAUUUACUGGGCGUAAAGCGCGCGUAGGCGGCUUGUUAAGUCGGAUGUGAAAGCCCUGGGCUUAACCUAGGAACUGCAUUCGAUACUGGCGAGCUAGAGUAUGAUAGAGGGUGGUGGAAUUCCUAGUGUAGCGGUGAAAUGCGUAGAUAUUAGGAGGAACAUCGGUGGCGAAGGCGGCCACCUGGGUCAAUACUGACGCUGAAGUGCGAAAGCGUGGGGAGCAAACAGG